GGGCGGCCCUCGCUGGGUUCCCGGGCCUAAUGGUCUGGGUACCCGGUUAGACACCCCUGAGGGAGAGGCCCUGAACCACCAGCUCCCUCCCCCAACCCUGGAAUUGCUUGGAGCCCAAGAGGGUCCUGGAGAAAGAACUGGCAGUUUGGGGAGGGGAGUCAGCCGUCCAGCCCCUUCUCCCCUCCCGCUCCCCCGGCCAGAGCGUCUGUCGAUGGGGAAGAGGUUGGAUUACUGCCCGGGGCUAUAGUUAGCUGUGGGACUCAGCCGGUCCCGGACCAGCCUGGCUCCUCCUGACACCGAGCGGCACCGCUGUCCCUACCACACCUUCCCGCCCUCUCGGCCUCUGUGACCUCCAGCCUGCUGAAGCCAAGGCUCCACCGCUGCCACUGACCCACCCGCAUCCGGACCUCGCUCUCCUGUCUCCCCCAGAGAUGAUGCAGGCUGCUCUGCUGCUCACCCUCAGCUGCCUCGGCCUUCUCGCCUUCUGGCAGGCCCAGGCUGUUCCCGUCCUGCCCCUGGGCCUGGCCCCUGACACCUUCGAUGAUGCCUACGCGGGCUGCGCGGAGGAGAUGGAGGAGAAGGCAGCCCUUCUGCUGAAGGAGGAGAUGGCCCGCCACGUGCUGCUGCGGGAAUCCUGGGAGGCAGCCCAGGCGGCCUGGGGGCAGAAGCAGCGAGGGCUCCCACUGCCCGCUGGCUUCAAACCCCAGCAUGGAAUCGCUAUCAUGGUCUACACCAACUCGUCCAACAACUUGUACGGGGAGCUGAACCAGGCGGUGCGGACAGGCGGCGUCUCCCGGGAGCACUACCUGAGGCACUUCCCCUUCAAGGCCCUGCAUUUCUACCUGACCCGGGCCCUGCAGCUGCUGAAGGGGAGCGGGGGCUGCAGCAAGGGACCCGGGCAGGUGGUGUUCCGAGGUGUAGACACUCUUCGCUUUGAACCCAAGCGGGUGGGGGACUCUGUCCGCUUGGGCCAGUUUGUCUCCAGCACCCUAGACGAGGCAGUGGCCCGGAGAUUUGGUAACGCCACCUUCUUCUCCCUGAGGACUUGUUUUGGGGCCCCCAUCGAGGCCCUGUCUGUUUUUCCCAAGGAGCGCGAGGUGCUGAUCCCUCCCCAAGAAGUCUUCUUGGUCACCAGGUUCUCCCAAGAGGGAGCCCGGAACCUGGUGACUCUCAGCAGCCAUAAGACCUGCAGCUACUUUAACUGCGCCUAUCUGAGUGGGGAGAAGAGGCAAGGCUGUAUGUCUGUACCAACAGGGGGGGCAGCCAGAUCUGUCAUCCAGCAGGCCCUUCUCCCUGCUCUCCUGGAAGACCCUACACUGGGCCCCCGGGGGGUUCCAGCUCUCAGGAGCUGGGCCCUUGAAAGUCCAAGGCCUGCCACUUAGGGGUCCUGGGAACUGUUGACCUUCAUAUGAAGAAGGGGGCCUUCGAGAAGCCUCAAGAAGCAAGAACAUGGUUUCAGACCCAGCCCUAGUAGCCAUCUCCCCAACCAGGAUGUGUGGGGUCUGAGGCCAUGGAAGGGUGGAGACUCCCUGGGACAAGGAAAGGUAGUGCUGUGAUGACCUCUUGAUUAAAGAGUGGUGACAUCGAAUUUCAUGAUUAGUUUAUUCCGCGAGACUGGACCAUCUGCCCUGCUCUGGCCUUGCAGGACUGAGGGAUUUAAAAGAAUGACUUUUUUUUUUUCUCUCUCCUAGACAUGGUCCCCUGUGCAGAUCCCUGUCACACACUAUAACUUGCAAACCCAGAAGCUUUAACAGCCUGAAGUUCCUCUCAACAUACUGAAGGCAGGAAGGGGACAGAUGGAUUCCUCUGCUCAUGCGUCAGAUGAGGAAAGGCAAACCCAAGGAGGGAAGCGACUUGCUCAGAGUCAGAGAGUUAGUGUUGAAAACAGGCCCCCCGCCUCGCAGUCCAGAACUCUUUGCACUAAAGAGCUGAAGGAACUCAAGGUAGGAUCCUAAGCCCAAGGUACUCGAGGCCCCAGAGCAAGACGUUUCUCUCUGCCCUGCUCCCACAAGGGCCUGUUUUGGGGGAGGGAAGAGGUCAUAAAACACGAAGAGAAAGCGAUCCUCACACACUCGGGAGGUAUCUGACAUCCUGAACAGAAACCUUAUCAAGGUGAAGAAAGCAGUGCAGGCUCCUCUGAGAUGACCUCCACCCUCAGCCUGUAGCUGCCCUCGUCAGGUACAGAAGGAGCCCUCCCACUGCAGCGGGAACCCUCCUGGGCAGGUCCCAGCCCCCUCUG